AGAGUUUGAUCCUGGCUCAGAAUGAACGCUCGCGGCGUGGAUUAGGCAUGCAAGUCGAACGAGAAAGUUCCCUUCGGGGAGCGAGUAAAGUGGCGAACGGGUGAGUAAUGCAUAGAUAACCUGCCCUCGAGAUGGGGACAACACCUCGAAAGGGGUGCUAAUACCCAAUACUUUCUGGAGUCGGUGGAUUCCAGGUGAAAGGAGGCCUCUGUUUCAAGCUGUCGCUCGAAGAGGGGUUCAUGUCCUACUAGCUUGUUGGUGAGGUAACGGCUCACCAAGGCUCUGAUGGGUAGCCGGCCUGAGAGGGUGUCCGGCCACACUGGGACUGAGACACUGCCCAGACUCCUACGGGAGGCUGCAGUCGAGAAUCUUCCGCAAUGCGCGCAAGCGUGACGGAGCGACGCCGCGUGGGCGAUGAAGGCCUUCGGGUUGUAAAGCCCUGUUGCCUACUAAGAAAAGCGGGUGGUAAAUAGCUAUCCCGGUUGACGUAAGUAGGAGAGGAAGCACCGGCUAAAUACGUGCCAGCAGCCGCGGUAAUACGUAUGGUGCAAAUGUUGUUCGGAAUCACUGGGCAUAAAGGGCGCGUAGGCGGUCUGGCCAGUCCGUAUGUGAAAUCCCUCGGCUCAACCGAGGAACUGCAUCGGAAACUUCCAGACUAGAGUGCAGGAGGGGAGAGUGGAAUUCCUGGUGGAGCGGUGAAAUGCGUAGAGAUCAGGAGGAACGCCAGCGGCGAAAGCGAUUCUCUGGACAGAUUCUGACGCUGAGGUGCGAAAGCUAGGGGAGCAAACGGGAUUAGAUACCCCGGUAGUCCUGGCCCUAAACGAUGGGCACUAGGUAGAGGGAGCUCCGAUGCUUUCUCUGCUGUAGCUAAUGUAUUAAGUGCCCCGCCUGGGGAGUACGGUCGAAAGACUAAAACUCAAAGGAAUUGACGGGGGCUCACACAAGCGGCGGAGCAUGUUGCUUAAUUCGAGGCAACGCGAAGAACCUUACCUGGGUUUGACAUGUUUGGGACCGCCUGCGAAAGCAGGUUUUCUCUCUUUUGGGCGGUACACAGGUGGUGCAUGGCUGUCGUCAGCUCGUGUCGUGAGAUGUUGGGUUAAGUCCCGCAACGAGCGCAACCCUCGUCCUAUGUUGCCAGCACGUUAUGGUGGGGACUCGUAGGAGACUGCCGGGGUCAACUCGGAGGAAGGUGGGGACGACGUCAAGUCAUCAUGCCCCUUAUGUCCAGGGCUGCAAACAUGCUACAAUGGCCGGUACAAAGGGCUGCCAUACCGCGAGGUUGAGCGAAUCCCACAAAGCCGGUCUCAGUUCGGAUUGGAGUCUGCAACUCGACUCCAUGAAGCUGGAGUCGCUAGUAAUCCCGGAUCAGCAACGCCGGGGUGAAUACGUUCCCGGGCCUUGUACACACCGCCCGUCACACCACGAAAGUCGGCAACACCCGAAAUCAGUGGCCCAACUCUUCGGAGAGGGAGCUGCCUAAGGUGGGGUUGGCGAUUGGGGUGAAGUCGUAACAAGGUAACC
rnacentral:rRNA from 1 species